CGCUCUGGCCAGCAAUGGUCCGGGUGAUCUGUCAGAAGUCAGCAGAGGUCGUAGUACCAGUCCGGGCCAGGAGGCUAGGAACGGGAAGGGC
rnacentral:ncRNA from 1 species